GCAAGUCGAACGGUAACAGCAAGAGCUUGUCUUGGCUGACGAGUGGCGGACGGGUGAGUAAUGCGUAGGAAUCUACCUUUUGGCGGGGGAUAGCCCGGAGAAAUCCGGAUCAAUACCGCAUACGCCCUACGGGGGAAAGCGGGGGACCCCUUGUGGCCUCGCGCCGUAAGAUGAGCCUACGUUAGAUUAGCUAGUUGGUGGGGUAAUGGCCCACCAAGGCGACGAUCUAUAGCUGGUCUGAGAGGAUGAUC
rnacentral:rRNA from 1 species